rnacentral:rRNA from 1 species
GACGAACGCUGGCGGCGUGCUUAACACAUGCAAGUCGAACGGAAAGGCCCUGCUUUUGUGGGGUGCUCGAGUGGCGAACGGGUGAGUAACACGUGAGUAACCUGCCCUUGACUUUGGGAUAACUUCAGGAAACUGGGGCUAAUACCGGAUAGGAGCUCCUGCUGCAUGGUGGGGGUUGGAAAGUUUCGGCGGUUGGGGAUGGACUCGCGGCUUAUCAGCUUGUUGGUGGGGUAGUGGCUUACCAAGGCUUUGACGGGUAGCCGGCCUGAGAGGGUGACCGGCCAUAUUGGGACUGAGAUACGGCCCAGACUCCUACGGGAGGCAGCAGUGGGGAAUAUUGCACAAUGGGCGGAAGCCUGAUGCAGCAACGCCGCGUGCGGGAUGACGGCCUUCGGGUUGUAAACCGCUUUCGCCUGUGACGAAGCGUGAGUGACGGUAAUGGGUAAAGAAGCACCGGCUAACCACGUG